UACGUAGGGGGCUAGCGUUGUCCGGAAUCAUUGGGCGUAAAGCGCGUGUAGGCGGUCCGGUAAGUCCGCUGUGAAAGUCAAAGGCUCAACCUUUGAAAGCCGGUGGAUACUGUGAGGCUAGAGUACGGAAGAGGCGAGUGGAAUUCCUGGUGUAGCGGUGGAAUGCGCAGAUAUCAGGAGGAACACCCGUAGCGAAGGCGGCACUCUGGGCCGAUACUGACACUGAGGAGCGAAAGCGUGGGGAGCGAACAGG
rnacentral:rRNA from 1 species